rnacentral:rRNA from 1 species
GCAAUGGGGGCACCCUGACCGAGCAACGCCGCGUGAGUGAAGAAGGUUUUCGGAUCGUAAAGCUCUGUUGUAAGUCAAGAACGAGUGUGAGAGUGGAAAGUUCACACUGUGACGGUAGCUUACCAGAAAGGGACGGCUAACUACGUGCCAGCAGCCGCGGUAAUACGUAGGUCCCGAGCGUUGUCCGGAUUUAUUGGGCGUAAAGCGAGCGCAGGCGGUUUGAUAAGUCUGAAGUUAAAGGCUGUGGCUCAACCAUAGUUCGCUUUGGAAACUGUCAAACUUGAGUGCAGAAGGGGAGAGUGGAAUUCCAUGUGUAGCGGUGAAAUGCGUAGAUAUAUGGAGGAACACCGGUGGCGAAAGCGGCUCUCUGGUCUGUAACUGACGCUGAGGCUCGAAAGCGUGGGGAGCGAACAGGAUUAGAUACCCUGGUAGUCCACGCCGUAAACGAUGAGUGCUAGGUGUUGGAUCCUUUCCGGGAUUCAGUGCCGCAGCUAACGCAUUAAGCACUCCGCCUGGGGAGUACGACCGCAAGGUUGAAACUCAAAGGAAUUGACGGGGGCCCGCACAAGCGGUGGAGCAUGUGGUUUAAUUCGAAGCAACGCGAAGAACCUUACCAGGUCU